rnacentral:lncRNA from 1 species
AUGAUGUGGUUUGGCUUCAGGCCUUUCAGAGGAGGUAACGUUGCUAAUGUUCAUGUUUCCAAGUUCAUGGUUCCUAUAUUCUUAAGAUUCCUGUUUCAUGUUCCUGUUUAUGCAUAUGUACCUUUGGAGAUUUAUCUGGGAAAGAUUCCUGUUUCAUGUUCCUGUUUAUGCUUUUGGAGAAUUUACCUUGGAGAGGUUCCUGUUUUUAUGUUCAUUAAUAUACCUUUGGAUUAACACUGUGAUUAUGGAUUCCUUGGUUUUGAUGUGUAACCUGGCAUUUUUGGAUUACUGCUACUGAACUCUGGCUUCUUUUGUAUAUUGCAAUUUAUAUGCUGACUGAUUCUUUUGGAUUUACCCUUUUCCCCUUUUUGCUGGUGCAUAGCAACAUGUUUUUUAAAAUCACGGUUACCUUUAUAUUGUGUAAGGUCGAUUAUUGUGAUUUAAACAAAGGGCCAAUUAUUGACUUAUUUAAACUGCAUUCCUGGGCAGCAAGAUAACCUGGGGGAGCAACAGUGAAUGGGUAAUGGCAGAGGGCCAGGUAUCAUCCAUUGACCACCUCCUCGCCUUCCUUUGGAUGAACACCUGACCCUGGGGGGAGUCAACUUGAUGGCCUGCUGGCCCACAUGGUCACUACUGGAGGGUCAUUCCAGGGGUACUUCCUCCCAAGCCCCAGAACUCUAUAGGAGAAAGUGGGAACCGCCUAGUCCAGUCCCAAGGGGAAAAUCUUAAACUGUCCUCCAAGCCCCGGAAUUUGGAGGGGCCAUCCCAGAUAUUCCCUUUCACCCCAAAUUGGGGGUGCCAAGAUGAACACCAACAUGUUAUUUCUCCAGUUCCUGACAAUUGAAACCUAUAAAUAACACCAUCUAAACAAAAUCCUUGCUUCCAAAGUCCAUUUGGUCAUAAUUGGAAUCCAGCUCCAUCUGCUGUUGUAAACCUAAAAGUGGACGUUUUAGUAGACACCUUCUUGACCUGGCUCUUUCUUUUCUUUUCAUCUAAACCAUAUUUAGGAAGUAUGUUCUAAAAUAUAAUCAAAAAAGAGAGAAAAUAAAUGAAACACUGUUCACAAGAUGGCUGCUCAAAGAGCAGUGCCUGGAAAGACAUAAAAUGGCCAUCCAAGAACAAGCCUUAAAGUAUACAGAAUGACUUCCUGAUAACAAGUUCUAAAAGGGGGCCCAAUAUGACCACCUAAUGACAAGUGUUGAGGACAUAAAUUGGGUACCAAAUGAUAAGUGUUAAAAGAUGUCACUUAAAGAUACAUGCCAAGUAACAAGUGCUAAGGGGAAUGCAACACAGACACUCAAAGACAAGUACUAGGUAUUAAUUAUGGGCCAAAUAUGGCUGCCUAAAGACAAGUGCCAAGGAAAAUGCAAUAUGACCACUCAAUAACAAGUAAUGAAGCUAUCACAAAAUGAUCACCUAAAGACAAGUGUAAGAAGUACAGAGUAUGGUCUCUCUAGGACAACUCCAUUAAUUACAUAGGAUUUCUUAAUCAAGAAAUACUCAGAAGUGGUCUCCUUAGUUUGAAAUAUAAUCUCCCAUCCAAGUACUAACCAUGGAUAACAUUGUUUAGACUCCAAAAUCACACAAGACUUGUUGCCUUCAUGUAAUUUAGGAUCAAAGCCGAAUGUGUCCCCAAAUUUCAGUUUCUUUGAAAGCAAAUUAGUAAGACUAAUAUAAUUUUAUUAAGGACAGAUUAAAUGACAGGGUUCUCCCCAUUACUACAGAGAUGAGCUUCAAUUUUAGUGAGUAAAUCCUCCAUACACAGCAUUAGUUCCCUUCUAAUGUUUUGCUAUAGACUGAUCUUACGUGUGGAUAUUACACCUGGGAUGUAAGUCUUCAUAAAUGUUGGCCUUUGUAAUGCCUCAUGGGCCUUGUAGUCCUGCUCCCAGUGCCACCGUGGCUGAUGAAGAUGAAAACAUGGGGUUUUCGCCGGCUCAGCAAGAGCCGGAAUCUUUCCAGAUGCCUGAUGUUGAUGUUUUUGCCCAAGAACCCAUUAAAACAGACCCUGAGCAGCUCUCACCCCCUUUUGCUAGG